UACGUAGGGUGCGAGCGUUGUCCGGAAUUAUUGGGCGUAAAGAGCUCGUAGGCGGUUUGUCGCGUCGGGAGUGAAAGUCCAGGGCUUAACUCUGGACUGGCUUCCGAUACGGGCAGACUAGAGGUAUGCAGGGGAGAACGGAAUUCCUGGUGUAGCGGUGAAAUGCGCAGAUAUCAGGAGGAACACCGGUGGCGAAGGCGGUUCUCUGGGCAUUACCUGACGCUGAGGAGCGAAAGUGUGGGGAGCGAACAGG
rnacentral:rRNA from 1 species